GACGAACGCUGGCGGCGUGCUUAACACAUGCAAGUCGAACGGAAAGGCCCAGCUUGCUGGGUACUCGAGUGGCGAACGGGUGAGUAACACGUGGGUGAUCUGCCCCUGACUUUGGGAUAAGCCUGGGAAACUGGGUCUAAUACCGGAUAUGACCUUACAUCGCAUGGUGUUUGGUGGAAAGCUUUUGCGGUUGGGGAUGGGCCCGCGGCCUAUCAGCUUGUUGGUGGGGUAAUGGCCUACCAAGGCGACGACGGGUAGCCGACCUGAGAGGGUGAUCGGCCACAGUGGGAAUGAGAGACGGCGGAGACGCCUCCGGGAGGCGGCAGUGGGGGAUAGGGCAGAAGGGGUGCAAGCCGGAUGCAGCGACGGCGGGGGAGGGAUGACGGCCUACGGGUUGUAAACCUCUUUCACCAGGGACGAAGGGGGAGUGACGGUAGCUGGAGAAGAAGCAACGGCCAACUACGUG
rnacentral:rRNA from 1 species